GUAACACUGGCACAAAGGUCCCCUUUUCCUUGCAAGGUAAAGAAGACUUUUCCCCUUUUUUUUCCGUCUGUGUUUAAUGCAGAUGAGGCUUUUCUAUUCACAUGACAUUCAUGAACGCACUCCCACACAGAAGAAAACACACCGUGAAACCUCCCUGACAAAAACAACCCCUCUGACUCAUCACAACAGCUGUUAGCAUCCAAAAAGCCUUACCUUCCUCUAUAAAGAUAUCCACUCAUUUGUCAGCUGAAUGGAAAAAUAUCUAUAAAAGAAUAAAACCCUUUCCAGCUGUUCCAACAGCCGCUCUGCCAGUGUCUCCCCAACCGCCAGGUGAGUCAGUCCGACUGCGUCAAAAGGACCUGAACUCAUCGGUUUAUCUGCCACCCGGCGAGCAGAGCUCCAGCAGACAGCCAGACGGGGGCCAAAACACCACGCAGAGACGAAGCGCCGCGAGGAUUUUCCCGGGCCGCUACUUUUUCGCCGCCUCAGACCCGGAGCAGAGUGACCACAGUCAGGCUUGUUUGGCCGCGCCGCUCCCAGAGGAACGAGCCAAGCACCCGGUCGGUCAUUUGACGUGGCAGAGAGCAGCAGCGGGAGAGAGGAGGUAAACACCAGUGGGGAGCAAAGAAAUGCCGUUCAGAAGACAAACAGUGCAGCCGCAUUGACGUGAUUCAAGCAGACAGGCAGCACAUUGAGGCCGGUGGAGGGAGCUGACCAUCAAAGACCCCGGCCGGCGGUCCCAGAGACUGGAUCAACGUCUAUGGAAAUUCCUCUUCAGUGCUUCUCCAAACAGGAGGACUCGUUCACAUACCUGCCUCACAUUCCUCAAUGUGCAGCCGGCGGCGGGAGAGCCGCCCUGCAGGUCUGAGCAGCGGAGACAACAGAGCUUCUGAGGUUGAACCGAGUCGCUCCCCUCUGCGCAGCCGAACGCGCCACGCAGUCCUUCCCUCGCCGAACAGGAGGGGAAAAUUAGAUUCUGGCUUUGAGAAAAGCGUGCUAGUUAAUCACCUCAGGAGCUUCAAAAAGUAGAUAGAUGUAAGACGGACAUCACUUUUGUGGUUAAGCGGGCUGCAACUCAUAGACUUCUGUAGCCUGUGACGAGUG
ensembl:lncRNA